UGCUUGGAGCCUUCCACUCUGAAAAUGUCUUUAUUUUUGCAGGCACCUCCUCUUCUCCUGGGACACCUUCACCAACCCCUACUUUGAACCUCUCAAUCAAGCUGAUAAAAGUUACUUCAGCUGCUUCCAACCUCUCCUGCUAAGUGGGCCCUUAGAUGCUUCAGGAAAGUACUCAGACUUUCCAGGCAGACAAGAAAGGAGGAACAGCCCAGAAGUACUGGACCAUGAAGAGAAUUCCAGUCGUCCCAGGACAGCACUCACCAAAUUAAUCUCACCUCUAGUGAGCUUGGACCAGCCAAGAAUGACGGAAUAUAGAUCCAGUGUGAGGGAAUAGUGUGGGCAAUUCAAAGGGAUGAAAAAAUGAAAAUGGUUGCUGUUCCCCAUGUUGCUGCUGGAUAAAGGGAGGAUACAGGCAAAUGCAAAAAAGCUAUUUAUCAGGUAGGCUGAGAUACGAGUGCAUUCAUUCGUUCUCAUAAAACAAGAUAUUGAGGAUCUACUAUGUGCUGUUUGAGGUACAGAGGUAGAGCUGUAACCGAAAGAGACAACGCCCCUGCCCUCAGGGAGCGUACAUUCUUGUGGGGGAAGCAAACAGUAAACAGUUACACUAAGUGAACA
ensembl:lncRNA